rnacentral:lncRNA from 1 species
UGCGCAACCCGCGCGCCGUCGUCCCUGGCAACACUGGCUGCUCUAGCGCCUGGCGGGGUCUCACGGGCGGGCCUGGGCGCACGGCCAAAGCGCCAGGUCUCCACCCCCAGCCCCCGGCGUCCUGCAGCCGGAGCCUGCCUCGCCUGGCUCCUGCGCCCGCCGUCCAGGGCCCCUGUCCAAGCUCGCGGACGCCGGCGGCGUUUUCCAGCUCGAGUGCUCAGCCUAGGGCAGGCUCUGCGUGCGCCCCCUCGAGUGCCGGCCUGGGCCCUGCCAGGCAGAGGCGCUCUUGCGUCAGGACGGCGCCGCCGGGGCCCCGCGAUUCCAACUCGGGGGUCCCGGAGCGGCGCGGGGCGGGGACGGCCUGGCAGCUCCCAGCAGCGAGGGGCGAUCCCCGCCCGCGCAGCAGACCCCGAGCUGCCCAGGCCCUUCCUGCGCCACGUGUACCCAGAGCUCCGCCCGGGGGAGACUUCGCUGCUUGUUGGAGAUGCCCAGCGGUAGGGGGCGAGGACUCGGGAGGAAGAUAAACGGGGGAUCCCGUGUCUGGACUUUCUCCUCCACCCUCUUCCCUUCGCAGCUGUGAAUCCUGGGAGGGGAAGGGUGGCCGCCCCGCCAGCAGGGUCGAGCCCGCUCUCAUUUGCACCUCCGCGCGAAUUUGGAACGGAUUUAUGAAUCGUCCUCACUGCGGUGCUGUCUUCUCCUGGGAAGGAGCCUCAGUCCUCCCCUCCCUGGGCACUGUCAUAGAGAUGGGCAGGACGGGCUGGGGAGGACACUCAGGGAGCUGCCCAGGCUCCUUUGCUGCCCCUCACCCCAGAAUCUUCUUGGGGUGGGUGGGGUCCCAGGCACCUGCAGAGUAGCAUACGGUGGCUUGUAGAAAGAGUAUCGAGGGAGGGGAGGUGCCACGUGGAAACAGCCCAAGCCAAACCCCUAGGACCUGUCUCCCUGUCCUCCUAGAGAGCUGAAGGUGUUCCGUGGUCAGUGAGGGCUGGCACUGGCUCUGCACGAAGAUCUCCUCACCUCCCCAGCGGCUCCUGGCCAGCUCCCCACGGAGAGCCCAGGACACUUGUCCCUGGACACAGUGGUGCAGCCAUGCUUGGGCCAAACCAUGAGGCCACCAGAACCGCGAAAGGCUACUGUACUGAGAGGGAUACUGCGAGAGAGGCCCACAGGUUUCCAAGCAUCCCUCUCACUCCGCACACUCAUCUCCACGACCGGCUUUAAGUGCGGCCUUGAGGCCUGGCUCCCUGUUUGGACUUCUCUGCACCUCCAGGAGCUCACUUCCCGUCACAGCUGGAUGCCUCCUCCCGCAGGCACCUCCCGGGCAUCCUCCCGCCCCAGGCUGCACCUUCUGUGGGACUGGCCCCCGCAGGCACCUCCCGGGCACCCUCCCGCCCCAGGCUGCAGCUUCUGUGGGACUGAGCCCCGCAGGCACCUCCCCGGCAUCCUCCCGCCCCAGGCUGCACCUUCUGUGGGACUGAGCCCCGCAGGCACUUCCCCGGCAUCCUCCCGCCCCAGGCUGCAGCUUCUGUGGGACUGACCUUAAGACCCCAUCGGUUCCUCCUGAGAGCAGCAGAUCUCAGCCAGAUGCUGCCGGGAGGGAGGUGCUAGCGUCCACACCCAGACGGGUCCAGUCCAGCCCUGCUCUCCCUGGUCUCCAGGCAGGGCCCUCCCAGGGUGGACAUUGCCCAUCUCUGCCUGGCCAGGGGCUGCUGACCCACUGGUUCCAGAGUCUGAGCCUGUCCUGCACAAGUACCAUGGACAGGGGUCAGCCGGGCACUGAAGAGGCGUGGCAGAAUUGGGCAGGGCAAGGGCCCCAGCUGGCAAGCUGGAGUCAGGGCAAUUCCAACCAAGAAACUGCGGCAGGCCGGGUGCAGUGUCUCAAGCCUAUAAUCCCAGCACUUUGGGAGGCAGUGGGAGAAUCGCUUGAGCCCGGGAGUUUGAGACCAGCAUUGGUAACAUAGAGACCCUAUCGCUACAAGAAAAAAAAAAAAAAAAAGCUGGGCAUGGUGGUGCACACCUGUUGUCCCAGCUAUUCAGGAGGCUGACGUGGGAGGAUUGCUUGUGCCCAGGGGUUGCAGGCUGCAGUGAGCUGUGAUCAUACCACUGCACUCCAGCCUGGGCGACAGAGAACCUCUCUAAAAAAAAAGGAAAAUGAAAAAUAAAUGGGGGCAGAAGCUGAGCCAAGCAGAGGCGGGCAGCUCCUCCUCCAGGGCCCACCUGGCCUGCUGGGGA